AUCCUGGCUCAGAUUGAACGCUGGCGGCAUGCUUUACACAUGCAAGUCGAACGGUAACAGGUUAAGCUGACGAGUGGCGAACGGGUGAGUAAUGCAUCGGAACGUGCCCAGUCGUGGGGGAUAACGCAGCGAAAGCUGUGCUAAUACCGCAUACGAUCUAUGGAUGAAAGCGGGGGAUCGCAAGACCUCGCGCGAUUGGAGCGGCCGAUGUCAGAUUAGCUAGUUGGUGGGGUAAAGGCCCACCAAGGCGACGAUCUGUAGCUAGUCUGAGAGGACGACCAGCCACACUGGGACUGAGACACGGCCCAGACUCCUACGGGAGGCAGCAGUGGGGAAUUUUGGACAAUGGGCGCAAGCCUGAUCCAGCAAUGCCGCGUGCAGGAAGAAGGCCUUCGGGUUGUAAACUGCUUUUGUACGGAACGAAAAGGUCUGGGUUAAUACCCUGGGCUCAUGACGGUACCGUAAGAAUAAGCACCGGCUAACUACGUG
rnacentral:rRNA from 1 species